rnacentral:ncRNA from 1 species
CAAAAGCUUGGUCCUGACUUUUCUGUCAGCUUUAAUUUAACUUAUACAUGCAAGUAUCUGCAGACCUGUGAGAAUGCCCUACUUGUUCCUUCUGGAGCAAAGGAGCAGGCAUUAGGCACAACCCCAAGUUAGCCCACAACGCCUUGCUUAGCCACACCCCCAAGGGAACUCAGCAGUAAUAAACAUUAAGCUAUAAGUGAAAACUUGACUUAGUUAAAAUUAACAGGGCCGGUAAAACUCGUGCCAGCCACCGCGGUUAGACGAGAGGCCCAAGUUGACAAACACGCGGCGUAAAAAGUGGUUAGUAAAGUACACUACUAAAGCCAAACACCUUCAAAGUUGUCAUAUACUAUCGAAGGCAGGAAGAACCCCCACGAAAGUGGCUUUAAACAAGACAACCCCACUAAAGCUAGGGGACAAACUGGGAUUAGAUACCCCACUAUGCCUAGCCCUAAACUCAGGUUAUAUUUUACACCUUCAUUUGCCAGGGAACUACGAGCUACAGCUUAAAACCCAAAGGACUUGGCGGUGCUUUAGACCCCCCUAGAGGAGCCUGUUCUAGAACCGAUAACCCCCGUUAAACCUCACCUUCUCUUGCAUAUCCCGCCUAUAUACCGCCGUCGUCAGCUUACCCUGUGAAGGAAACAAAGUGAGCACAAUUGGUACCACCCAAAACGCCAGGUCGAGGUGUAGCCAACGAGAAGGAAAGAAAUGGGCUACAUUCACUGCUUCAGUGAAUUACGGAGGAUGUACUGAAACAAACAUCUAAAGGAGGAUUUAGCAGUAAGGAGUGAAACAGAGUGUCCUCCUGAAACUGGCCCUGAAGCGCGCACACACCGCCCGUCACUCUCCCCAAACAUAACAACUAAAAUAAAUAAACUACUACAAAUACAAAGGGGAGGCAAGUCGUAACAUGGUAAGUGUACCGGAAGGUGCACUUGGAAAAA